GCUGGCCAGCGACUGUCAUCCUUCCCUGAGGUCCCUUCCAAUCCCAGUGCUCUGGAGAAGGGAUGGAAAAACGGCAUAAAAAGCAGCACUGUUUAAGUGAGCAG